UAAAAUCCGUCGACUUUAUAAGUUGUGAGGGUUCAAGUCCCUCUAUCCCCA
rnacentral:tRNA from 2 species